GAUGAACGCUGGCGGCGUGCUUAAUACAUGCAAGUCGAGCGGAAGGACGAGAAGCUUGCUUUUUUGUUGUUAGCGGAGGAGGGGAGUGUAACGUGUGUAUCACCUACCUGUAAGACUGGGAUAUUUUCGGGACACCGGCGCUAAUAGCGGAUAAUCUCUUGCACCGCAUGGUUGAAUGGUGAGAGACGGUGUUGCUGGCUGGUCUAGCUGGUUCCGCGCUGCUUUGGCUAGUUGGUAAGGUAACGGCUUACCAAGGCAAGGCUGCAUAGCCGACCUGAGAGGGUGAUCGGCCACACUGGAACUGAGACACGGUCCAGACUCCUACGGGAGGCAGCAGUAGGGAAUCUUCCGCAAAGGGCGAAAGCCUGACGGAGCAACGCCGCGUGAGUGAUGAAGGUCUUCGGAUCGUAAAACUCUGUUAUUAGGGAAGAACAUAUGUGUAAGUAACUGUGCACAUCUUGACGGUACCUAAUCAGAAAGCCACGGCUAACUACGUG
rnacentral:rRNA from 1 species